rnacentral:lncRNA from 1 species
UACUUGGAAUAGUAAGUGCAGGGAAGAAGGAUAUUCUACAGUCCUGUCUCCUCCCUCUACACCUGCUCCAGGUUGUCCAGACACUCUUACUGGGAAGAACUGAUCAUCCCCCCAUCUUCCCUUUCAGCAAACCCAUGUGUCUGAGAACAGCUGCCUGUGUAAUCUCAUGAGAGUGGGUGGUUUGUGCCCAGUGGUUCUGCCUAACUAUGUGUGUUCAUAGCUUGGUGACUGCCAACAGCCAUUCAACACUGUUGGGUAACAGUUUAUGGAUGAGUGUGCAAAAAUCCAGAUUUUAUUGACUUUACUACUAAUUGUAUCCUCUUAGGAAAGGAACCAGCUGGAGGAAGCAGGGAGAAAAGAGCUCAAACUCAUUUGCAAAGUCGUAUGAGUUUUCCCAGUCUAGGAUGUACUGCUUAUAUAAUCUCCUGAGAGGCUAGCCUAGAGCACCAUCUGUGUGUCAGUUUCCUAACUGAGAGAUACCAGAGCCAGGGAGGGGAACCUCUAACAGGUGAGCAUUACUGCAGUUCUGUCUCAAGCUGAUUUAUGAGGUGCAGUGGACAUUGCCAGGUCUAGGCUCCCAGUGUUCUGGUACCUUGAGAAAGGGCCAGAAAAUACUGUUUUGAAGGACAGAGAGAGAAGUGGGAAGCCAUUCAUCCACUGAUAGAAUAAAUGGAAAUUGUGGGAGGAGCUCUCCAGCUUUUGAUAGAGAAGGACAAUGAAUCAGCCAAUGCCUCCCUGGCCCUCCAGUCCCCAGAGGUGACAUGUUUUAUCUGCUCCCAUCCAGGGUAUCCCAUUCUGAAGACUUCCAUGACCUCUUUGGUGACCAUCCCUAAUCUUCUUCCCUGGGGCUGACCGCUCCUGAAUUCCAUGCCGGAAUCUCUCACUUCCUGUGGAUCUCUCCCUCUGUGGGACUGUCUCUUCCACACAUCCUCCAACCAUCACCCUAACUUGUUCCUUAUCUUUUGCUCUCUAUUUCUCUUCAUUUCUAUCCCUCAUGUGGUGACCCAGGCCAGACGUUUGUGGUCCUCACUGAGAGUUUCUGUGUGGGCUAAGCCUCAAAAAGCCUCUCACACUCUGCAGCCCUUCUCCAAAACAAUUCUUCUAAAUGGGGUGCCUCGCUGGUACCAUGUGAUCGGGCCUCCUUGGCUGCAGCUGAUUAGACCAGAGUCCUCGGCCGUCAAACCACGGAGGAUGCUUCCUUCAGAGACAUGGAUAUAAGCUGAGAGGAUACAGCUCUGAUUUGACCAUGAGCCUGGGAACCUCCAUAUACCACAGGGGCAGCCCUUAAAAAAAAAAAAAGACAAAAACAGAUCCAGAGGAAUGAUCAUAGGCAGUUAUCAUGAAAUCAUGUUAUCACAGGAGUUCCCAUCGUGGCACAGAAGAAACGAAACCAACUAGUAUCCAUGAGGAUGCAGAUUCUACCCCUGACCUCACUCAGUGGGUUAAGGAUCUGGUGUUGCUGGUAGCUGUGGUGUAGGUCACUGAUGUGGCUCAGAUCUGGUGUUGCUGUGGCUGUGGUGUAGACUGGCAGCUGUAGCUCCAAUUUGACCCCUAGCCUGGGAACUUCCAUAUGCCAUGGAAGGUGUGGCCCUAAAAAGCAAGAAGAAAAAGAAAUCAUGUUAUCCCAAGGCUGUGAAAGCUAGGAGGAAGCACAAGUUAUGAAGAAAGUGAAAUCCUGAGCAGUAAGCUGUGGUGCAGUGGGAGAUUGUUAAGUCAGGAGGGUGGAGCCCUCAUGAAUGGGAUCAGUGCCCUUUUAAUAAGAGCUAUGAAAAAUUUGUUCUCUACUCUCCACCAUGAGAGGAUACAAGAGAAAACAACCAUCUGCAAACUACACCCAGGCUCUGCCAGCACCUUGAACCUGGACUUCCCAGCCUCCACAUUGUGAGAAAUAAACAUCUAUUGUUUAUACCACCUAGUCUCUGGUAAUUUGCUAUAGCAGCCUGAAUUGACUAAGACAGUUCCUACUGCACUCUGUCAGGACUCUGGGAUGUUCUGUGCUGACCCGUGGGUGCUCUUCCUGGGUCAUUUCAUCAGCUCAGAGGCUUCACCUUCUACCAUGUGCUGAAGAUCUCAAAUCUGCAUCACAGCAGGACCUCUCCUGCUGUUGUAAGACCUACAAUAGCUUUCCUCACCUCACCUGUCUACUGGUUUUAACCACUACAUUAGUCCUAGCAUUAGUCAUGGCAGGAGGCAGCUGAUGGGAGAGUGCAUUGCAGACUAAGACCACCUGAGUCCUUGCCUGGCUCCACUACUAGCCAGCUGGUAUCCAGGGGUAAAUUGUUAACUCCUCAGUGCCUUAGAUUCCUCAUCUCAAAAAUAGAGGCUCAUGAUAGCACCUACCUCCUGGGUUGAUCUGAAGAUUUGAUCAAUUUAACAAAUGGAAAGUACCUACAAUAGCCCAUGGAAUGUAAUAAGCCGUCAACAUAUUGGGAACUAACUUAUUCUGUGCUUGUCACAUUGUUAAUUUAAUUCUCAGGGUAGCCCUGUGAGGUUUUGAGGGACUUACCUAACUCCAGCGCUUAAAGUCUUAAGUUAAGACAUACCACAUUGUUACCUUUGACCAACGCCUGGCAUAGCUGGGCGUUCCCUCCUCUGGGUUGCCACUGUACUCACACCGGGCUCAGCUCAUCUGACUCACUGGCCCAUAGCUGUGGGCUUGGGCAUCAACUCUCCACUAGGCCACCACCUUCUUCCUGGGCUUUAUCUUUUUUCCCCGGUACAAUGCCUGGUUCAAACAUAAACAUGCUCAACACAUGGUGCUAAAGAAAUGAACUCAUAAAAAUGCUCAUAGCCAUAGCUAGUCUGCAUCCUCUCUUCUUCCACAUUCUGUAUAGUGUGCAGUUUAUAUUUGAUUACUUGUUAAUUACAAAAGGAUCACAGGUUUAUUAUAGAAAACUUAUGUUUACACACAGAAAAAGAAUGUGUCUCUUAAAUGUGACUCUUCCAGAGGUAAUGUCCUCAUCUUUGAGUCCAUACAAUCAAUGACUCACACAUUUUUUAACUGUUUAAUUUUAGAAUAGUUUUGGAUUUACAGAAAAAUUGCAAAAUAGAGAGUUCCCACAUACCCCACACCCAGUUUCCCCUAAGGUUGACGACUUACAUUGGUAUCAUUCAUUUGUCACAAUGAACAAAUGAAUAUUUGGGGGGGCUCUUUUUAGGGCCACACCUGUGGCAUAUGCAAAUUCUCAGGGUAGGGGUUGAAUCAGAGCUGCAGCUGCCAGCCUAUACCACAGCCACAGUAACACAGGAUCCCAGCUGUGUCUGUGACCUAUACUGCAGCUCACAGCAGCACAGGAUCCUUAACCGAAGCCAGGGAUCGAACUGGCAUCCUCAUGGAUACUCAUUGGAUAACCACUGAGCCACAGUGGGAACUCCCAGUGAAUGAAUAUUGAUAUAUCAUUAUUAACGGAAGUCCACACUCCAUUCAGAUUUCCUUAAAUGUCCUUUUCCUGUUCCAGAAUUCCACACUAUGCUUAGUCCACACACCUCCUCAGGCCCCUCUUGGCAAUGACCAUUCCUCAGUCUUCUCGGACCUGGAAAAUACCUAGUUAACUGUGUACCUCAGGUCAUCCUCCUCAUCAUGGCUCUGGUGGGGUGCACUUCCCCUGGAAGGGAUUUUCAGAUGAAGUCUUGGGAGCUUAAGGGAGAGCCACAGAACUGGUUGGUGGAAGAGCCUGAUGUCCAACCCCCCGGAGAGAUUUAAGGGGGAGUUAGGGUGAGGGAGGAGGGGCACACAGCACAGCUAAGAGCCCCCACACAGCAGUUUCUUGUGGUCUAAUUGGGCCAGUUUUCUGGUAGUUUCUUCUCCUAGUCCUUGCAUUAGGACUCCCCAAGCCAGGAACCUUAUUCUUUCAGGUGAGGUUUACUCUGCUCUUACCUGGCUGAAUCUCAGGGGAGAGAAGCAGGUUGGCUUCCUGUGCUCCCCUGCUUUCCUGCCCUGACUCACAAUCCUGUAUUUUCACGGCAGUCAUAAAUCUGGAGAGAUCAAAAUUAAUACCCCAUCUUGCCCCUGGGCCAGGGUUAACCACAUUAGCCACACUCCUUAAUGCCUCACAUAUUCCAUUUUCUAAAGAAUCUCUAUCUCUCCUUCCUUCUUCUCUCUCUGCAUUCCCCUUACCCCAGCUUCUUUCCCAACUCUUGACCAGGAGAGAAUUAGAAACAAACAAAAGAAUGUCUAAGCUUGUCACCUCUGGUCUAUUUCUUCUCAUUUCCUAAGCUAAAUUCCAAACGGGUAAUUGCAUUAGUCAUCCCCAAAUCCAGACUUCCAUGUGGGUUGGCCCCAUGAGCUCUCUCUCCUUCACUCUUUCACAGGGACAAGACACAGUUUGUAAGAAGCCUCUGCCCCUAAAUUUCACAUCUGUACUUUCUCUGAAACCUGGUCCCUUCCCAGAGACCCACCAUUCUAGUCUAACCUGAAGCUGCAAAAGCUUCCAGAAUAUAACCUUUCUCCUUGUCACACCUUCCACCUUGCAGCUAAUUAAUGACACAGAAGGCUAGCUGCUGCUUCUGCUGCCCAGAGGAAGAUGAAUUAGAAGGCUGGUAGGAGACCUGCUGAGAAGGGGGCCAGGGCCCUGGGCUAAGAUGGGGUGGAAUGUGCAAAGGGAUUUAUGAAAGCUUGGGCUGGAUGUGGAAUUGUGUUCAAACACACUGAACCGCAGCACUGCUGAUUAAAAACUAACAAAAAGGCUUGUUAAUUUCCCCUACAGAUUUGCCAUUUUCUGACUGUCAUGUGGAGACAGGCACAGUUACUUUGCCUAGGUCUGUUCGCUUAUCUUCUUACCCGGAUCCAGCACCCAAAUACACAUUGAGGUAUUUGAGAAGGCACCUCCUGCCCCUGAGGAGUUUCUGUCUCUUUAAACAAAUACAUUUGCACCUACACUUUGCAUUUUGUCCCAUGCAACCAUGGGAGCUCCAUAAUCCACAAUCCCUUCUUGGAGAAGGGAUGUUUUUGCUGUGAGGCUCGUGGUCAGAAACGAGAAAUUUACUUGGUAUGUGUAACUUUUGGUAUUUAAAACUAGAUACUAGAUAGAGGGAUAGAGAGAGAGGGAUACUUUUUAAAAAAUGAAGUUAUGGUGAAAUGGAGCAGGAUCCUACAGUCCUCACCAAACCAUGUCUUCCAUCUGUCUUUUGCCUAUAGAAAAACUUUAGUCAAAGAACACAUUUAGGAGUUCCCAUUGUGGCUCAGUGGGUUAAGAACCCGACAUAGCGUUCAUGAGGAUUUGGGUUUGAUCCUCAGCCUUGCUCAGUGGGUUAAUGAUCCAGAGUUGCCACAGGCGAUAGUGUAAAUCACAGAUGCGGCUUGGAUUUGACCCCUAGCCUGAGAAAUUCCAUAUGCUGCAAGUGCAGC